rnacentral:rRNA from 1 species
CCUACGGGAGGCAGCAGUGGGGAAUUUUGGACAAUGGGCGCAAGCCUGAUCCAGCAAUGCCGCGUGCAGGAUGAAGGCCUUCGGGUUGUAAACUGCUUUUGUACGGAACGAAACGGUGAGCUCUAAUACAGUUUGCUAAUGACGGUACCGUAAGAAUAAGCACCGGCUAACUACGUGCCAGCAGCCGCGGUAAUACGUAGGGUGCGAGCGUUAAUCGGAAUUACUGGGCGUAAAGCGUGCGCAGGCGGUGAUGUAAGACAGAUGUGAAAUGCCCGGGCUCAACCUGGGACCUGCAUUUGUGACUGCAUCGCUAGAGUACGGUAGAGGGGGAUGGAAUUCCGCGUGUAGCAGUGAAAUGCGUAGAUAUGCGGAGGAACACCGAUGGCGAAGGCAAUCCCCUGGACCUGUACUGACGCUCAUGCACGAAAGCGUGGGGAGCAAACAGGAUUAGAUACCCUGGUAGUCCACGCCCUAAACGAUGUCAACUGGUUGUUGGGUCUUCACUGACUCAGUAACGAAGCUAACGCGUGAAGUUGACCGCCCGNGGGAGGUACGGCCGCGAGGUUAGUAACGUACGAAGAGUAGUAGACGNGNGAGAGCGACGGACGACGACGACGGAGGGAGGAG